rnacentral:rRNA from 1 species
GUCUAUGGCCAUACCAUCCUGAACGCACCCGAUCUCGUCUGAUCUCGGAAGCUAAGCAGGGUAGGGCCUGGUUAGUACUUGGAUGGGAGAAACACUGUACAAUUAGGAU